GUGCCAGCCGCCGCGGUAAUACGUAGGUGGCAAGCGUUGUCCGGAUUUAUUGGGCGUAAAGGAUGCGUAGGCGGAUAUUUAAGUGUGAUGUGAAAUCCCCGGGCUUAACCUGGGGGCUGCAUUGGAAACUGGAUGUCUAGAGUGCAGGAGAGGAAAGCGGAAUUCCUAGUGUAGCGGUGAAAUGCGUAGAGAUUUGGAGGAAUACCAGUGGCGAAGGCGGCUUUCUGGACUGUAACUGACGCUGA
rnacentral:rRNA from 1 species